UACGGGGGGGGCAAGCGUUGUUCGGAAUUACUGGGCGUAAAGGGUUUGUAGGUGGCUUGUUAAGUCAGACGUGAAAUCCCUCAGCUUAACUGGGGAACUGCGUCUGAUACUGGAUGGCUUGAGAUUGGGAGAGGGAUGCGGAAUUCCAGGUGUAGCGGUGAAAUGCGUAGAUAUCUGGAGGAACACCGGUGGCGAAGGCGGCAUCCUGGACCAACACUGACGCUGAGGAGCGAAAGCCAGGGGAGCAAACGGG
rnacentral:rRNA from 1 species